rnacentral:miRNA from 1 species
AAAAAAUCCGAAUUCAGCUGU